rnacentral:tRNA from 1 species
GCAUUGGUGGAUCACUGGUAGAAUUCUUGCCUUCCAUGUAGGAAAUGUGGGUUCGAUUCCAGGCCAAUGCA